GAUCAUUCGUACACCGCCAUGUAUACGCACACUCGCACAUGAUUUGAUGAGACGACGUAUUUUUCUUUCAUCAUCCAAAUGGAGUUCGGAGAGGUCUUCUCCUAAGGCACGAGACCGCUCUCUCCUCCUCUCCCUCCGCGUCGUCUCCUCGCCGCCUGCCGGAAUUCCUCUCACUCCCCGAUCUCGGCGCUUCAUCCGCCGGAUAUACCUCUCGUUUUUUCUCCGCCUGCCAUGGCUUCUUGUCUUCUAAGCCUCUUUCAAACCAGAAGAUCGAGGAGUCUCAGCUUGCUACUAAGAAGGAGGAGGAUAAUGAGGAGGUGGUUCUUCCUAUCUUCUUCGAAACAGUUUGUUCCUUUUUGUUGUCCGAUUUUUUAGUAACAAGGGGGGAUUUCAGAGAUUUGGGAUGGGGUCAAAGCGUUGUAUGAAUGCUGGGUGUCGGCGAUGGAGCCGGUCGGCGAGGGGGAGUGAAGGGAUGGGGGUUGAAAUCGGGUGGAUUCACCAAUCUCUGCGACAACUUUGAGUAUGUAUGUGUGUAUGUAUAUUUAUAUAUCUUUUUCUUGGAUCCUUUGUGUUUAAUUUGUGCGCCUUGCUUGAUUGUAAUACUUUCUCUUUGUUUGUGUGAUUAUAGGCUUCGUCCUGAUGCUGUGAAGGUGUUCCUUUUGGCAGUGGAAUUCGGUUAUUAUCGGUUUUUGCUCUGUUUUUAAGGAGAUCAUGGAUUUGGUUUCUAAUUUGUAUGAGUUCUUGCUUCUGUGAUUCUCCUGCUUCUGAACUUAACUCUUAUUUUGAGGUUCUUCAUUUUUUCCUUUACUUAAAAGAAGUUGGUAUUUUUUGUGUAGGCAGAGAGUCCCUUUUUUUCUUUCUGCAUGCAUUUGUUGGUUAAGGGAGCAGAAGAGGAUCUCUUGAAGUUGGAAAGUGGGAUCAUUCACCAUACCUCAGGGGAUUGCACUGGUAGGCAUAAUGUUCCUCAUCUCUUUCUUUUCUAUUUCCUUUAUCGACAUAGCUUCAGUUAUCAAAAUGAUUUCCAUGAUUUUGUCUCACCAAGCUUGGGUCUGUUUAAUAUAAUGUACCAGUGAAACAUUAAACUGAGGUAUGCCUACUUCAUUUCAAUACAUAUACUAGUAUAACUGAAUGCACCCAAAGGAGCAACCAUCAUUACAGCACCCAGUUGAAGAGCCCAACAUGAAACAGAGUGUUAAACAAGUCGCUCAAAAUCUGAAAGCUUUCUUCGUUUGAGCUUGAUUGGGAGACCCUUGGAUGGAUAAGGCAGGGGUCGGCGUGUAAUCGUCUCAUCAGGAAACAGCUGAGACCACUCAAACUUUGUGACUAAAUGAUGCAUUACGGUAAGGACUUCAACUCUCGCAAAUUCGUUGCCUAUACACAUCCUGUAUCCUGCUCCAAAUGGGAUGUAAGCAAAUGGUGGAACUGGUUUUGAGGGACUUUCAAAACGGGAGGGAUCAAAAUUAGUAGGAUCCUCAAAGAUAUCUUUGUCCAUAUGGGUUCCACUGGUUUCCCAAAGCAGCUGCAGAAUAUAACAUCAAAAGCUCCAUUAGUUGGAUGGUAAGCUUGUUAUAUAUUUUGAUCAGAUAAGGAAAAUGAUGUGAUACCUGCCAUCCUUGAGGGAUGUCAUAGCCUCCAAAAUGGAGGUCUUUUACAGCUUUUCUCAAGCUACCGGACACUGGAGGGAUGAUUCUCAUCAGUUCUUGUGCAACUCUCCAUGUGUAUUUCAUUCUUUGUACUUCAUUCCAUGUAAGCUUCCCUUGCACAUCAUCCUGUCUGUCUCUUAAGAUCGCCAUUUGCUCUAGUGAAGAAGAAAAAUAGUAUUAUUUAAUAUGUGAGGGUUUGUCUUUUUAAGACAUACUGGAAUAAGAAAUUGAGUCAUGAUAUUUUGUUUCGAGAUGAUUAGGCUUAACGUCCAAAAGGAUUGAUCAGACAACCAACUGAUAGUUAAUUCGAUGCCAUGGAAUUACCUGCAAAGCUCAUAUUUCUUUUUUUCUUAACAAAAAUGAACACAAUUAGCCGAACAAUAUACUAAAUCUACAGAAUGAGAGAUCCAUGUGGCAGCAGAGAACAUUCUAUUACCUUCCGAGACCUUGCUAUAAAUCUCAGGAUCUCUAGCCAAUUUCCAGACCAUCAAACUCAAUAGAAUCGCCGUUGUAUCAUGACUAGCUAUUAUCAAUGCAACAAAAUUAUCUGUUACCGCCUCCUCAGUAAGUGGUUCAUUAUUCUCAUCUUUCAGUGAGAGUAUGGAAGAAAUUAUGUCAUCUUUGGCCUUCAAAAUACCCUCAGUGAGUAGCUCCUUUCGACUUUGCAAGAUGGGCAAUGCUCGCCGGUCGAUUCGAGAUCUUGCACGCAAUGCACGCCAGUACGCUGUUCCUGGGAGAUUAAUAGGAAUGGUAAAUAAGCCUGCCAAGACUUGGACGAAGUCCUCGAACAAGGCUUCAUUUGUGGGCUCGUGGUGCAAUCCAAAUAGUAGGCUGCAAGUUAUGUUAAACGUGAGCUUCUUCAUCAAAGGCACUGCCAGAAUGGUGUCUUUCCCUUCUGUUUUGGUGAGCAGUUGGUGUUUAACUAAAGCACCCAUAUGUCCAAUAUAGUCUUGAAGGCUUUCUGGUUUUAGGAAGUUCAUCAGCGCACCCUUGACUAGCCUAUACCUGUACAAAGAUUUUGUCAGUGGUAGAUAGCUUAAUUUGAAAUUUAAUUGUUAUAUAUUGAAAGUAAUGAUCUCUCUUAUUUUUUCAGCUGAUAACAUGCUUAAAUUUUUCAUUGCAUUCUAUUUGCCAGUUUUCCUUAUACUUCAUAGCUUUCUUCUCUUGUUUUGCUAGUCUUUGCAAACCAGUUGAAUACACACAACUAGUCCCCUAGCUAAAAAAACAAAAACACAAGCACAUACAUGGAGAAUGAAUCCCAUGAUCAUGUUUAAGACUAUUAUUUUUAUGUUACCUUGUGCCAGUGAGCUCAAACAAAUUGUGCCUUCCGGUGAGCCUUACGAUCGUCGGCGGCUGUUUCAUGCUGACAGCCUCGUCGUUGGCGGUGAACACAAACUUGUU
rnacentral:lncRNA from 1 species